GACGAACGCUGGCGGCGUGCCUAAUACAUGCAAGUAGGACGCAGUUGCGAACGGGUGAGUAACGCGUAGGUAACUGCCUAUUAGAGGGGGAUAACUAUUGGAAACGAUAGCUAAUACCGCAUACUAGUAGAUGGACCUGCGUUGUAUUAGCUAGUAGGUAGGGUAAUGGCCUACCUAGGCGACGAUACAUAGCCGAACGGGGAGGGUGAACGGCGGCAUUGGGAAAUGGACCCGGCCCAGGAACCUACUGGAGGCAGCAAUUGGGAAUAUGCGGAAAUGGGGGGAACCCUGGACGAGACACGGCGCGUGGGUCAAGAAGGUUUUCGGGUCGUAAAGAUCUUUUGUUGAGGAAGCGGUACUUAACCAGAAAGGGACGGCUAACUACGUGCCAGCAGCCGCGGUAAUAC
rnacentral:rRNA from 1 species